ensembl:lncRNA
GGUAGAUUUAUGAUCAGUUAUUUUUAAGUAUCUUGUAAUCUGUACAAAGUAAUUAUCCAUAAACGAAUAUAGGUUGGCUUGAUUUAAAAAUUCUGAGGAAAUACUAGCCGUCUUUAAUAAUUUCUAUGAAGUGUAUUAGAUAAAAGAUGUGACAACAAAAGUUAUUCUAAUUUUGUAGGAAUUUUAACUUGAAAAUUUUUGGAUUGUUACAGAGGAAAGUGAACAAGUAAAAAUCAUUCUGACAAAUGACAAUUUGAAGCUGAAUGCUGUUGUUAGCUUGGUAUUCGCUGCACUGACUCUGUGCCUCCUCUGCAGUAGUUACAGUGAGGUACAGAAACUUGCAUCUACUUUAUAAUGAACACAGACAUAUAUACCAAAGUGAGUUCCUGCCAACAGCUGAAUUACAUGUCACUGUUCACCUGAACACUUGUUAACUAAAGCUCUCUCAGAAAAAGAAACACAACAAAAUACUACCUUUUUUAAAAAGAUGGCAAAAUUAAGUUUAGAAAGGUUUAGUAAUGCUUUCUUCUAAAACAAGGCAUUUCAGAAUUCCAUUAUCAGAAAACUGAAGUGUUGGUAGAACUUAUACAAAGAUUAUAUACAAAGAAUUAUACAAAGAUUAACAUUUGUAUUUUGUUCAAAGAACAAGAUAAGAUAGCAGGACUUAUUCUCUGAUAUCUACAACUUAUAAGUAAAAUCUUUAUUUAAAAUUUUGUGUUACAUUAUAUAUUACGUAUAAUUUGUAUUUUGUAGCUGCAUGGCUCAGGAGUGGUAUCCAUUUAGUUAUGUUGCUGAAAGUAUAAUUUUUUAAUGCAUCAAGAAUUAAGCUUCUAGAAAGUUCUGCAUACCUAAUUGCUUCUGGGGUCCAUAGUAUGACAAGUGUAACAAUUUUGAAGUGGUUUACACUUGAAUUGCAGACGUCACAGAAAAAGACUGCUUUCAGUCCCUGUACAACACUUAAUGAAGCUAUAAGAUGAAUGAGCCACUCAGCCUCCAUCCACUUGUGGGGCAGUUUAAAUAAAAAAGUCUGGCACUGCUUUCUACUCCUAUUUUACACUGAUAGAAAAAAGACUAGCAGAUGAGGAUCUACUUCUGAGUGACUUGUGAGUUAUCACUUAAUUUGUCUCCUUACUAUUAUAGUAAUCAUGCCACUUGUUAGGAGGAGAACACCUAUUUGACUGUUCAGAUUACACAUGAACUUAAACUGAGUUUAAUGAGUUAUUUAUGGAAAUCUCCAAGAAAUAGGUUUGGACUCACAAUGCAUUUAUAGACAAAAAGACCUGCUCUUUUUCUGUUGCUUGCUUGAUCAUUGGGACUUUAAAAAAUGAUGCAUGUCUUUUUUAAUUAAUUGGGUGAUGUUUUUCUAAAAUUAAAAUUUUCUUCUUCCUAUAGCCCUGCCAUAGGACAGGCUGAGGCUGAGUCUCAGUGUUGCCCUGUUCAGUCUGAGCAGCAGAAUUUCAGCAUUUGCUACUUACUGGUAGAGAAGAAAAACCCCACAGCCCUGCCAGUACAGUUUAUAAGAAUGGCGUAGAUACAGUGGAAAUGGUUUUCCUUAAAACCAUCUCUUUAAGAGCUGCCUUUCUGGUGAGUACUGCUUUAUAAUUUUUGUAUCACACUUUUUUUUAAGCUAGCUGGGAGGUGACAGUGAUUGAAAAGUGCAGUCCGAAUUGUCAAAGCUUGGACCAGAACCUUAAGGUGAUGGUUACUACCUGAUUCUCUAUGUUCCCUGUUUAGAUUCUCUUUUUUCCCCCUCAUUUCCCUAAAGGAUUGUGUGCAUAAAAACAUUGAACGCAGAUCAUUUGCUUUGGUGAGGGGAAAAAUUGUUUUGUUUUGGUUUUUUUUUUUUUUUUUUUUUUUUUUAAUGUUUAAGAAAAUGUAGGGACAGGAGGCAUGGCUCACUAGUUAAGACCAUGUCAUACCCCAGGUGGUGGCAUCCGCUCUGCAGGCAGAGACCAGUCAUUGCUGAGUUUCAGGACAACCAGGGCUGUAUAGAGGAGUCUCCCCAAAGUGAAGGAAUGUGUCCUGCGUUUGUUGGAAUCAGUUGAGGUUCCCAGUGUGUGUCCUGGCUCACAACCACCGCUCCUUCAGGAUCUGACACCUUGAACUUUUGUGCUCAUAUACUUAAAACACAUGCAUACAAUUAAGAAAUACAUAUGUUUUAAAGAUCAAAGAUUACCUUUUUUGCCCCAGUGCUCAUUUCUCACUGCUAGGUUAAGGAAAUAAUAGAUUUAGUACUCUCUUCUCGAGUACUUGAACUGUAUAAAUCAUUCCAACCCUGCAUGGAAAACUUGCAUUACAAAUGCAGAUUUUUAGCAUUUGUUUACCUGGGAAGAUUAACUUACAAAAAUAUUUUACUGUCUUGUUUAGUGACGAGUUUGUAACAUAAGGAUUUUUCCCUGUAGUUUUUAAGCUAGAUUUUUAGAUAAUGCAGGCAUAUUUGUAUAUACAUUGUAUUUCUUCUAUGAUUUUUGUGAAUAAAUCUACCUUUUUCCUCCUUAGUAUAGACAAUAUUUGUUUUCUAAAAUCUGAAAUGUGUAAUCUGAGUGUGUGUGGUAAUGUAUUCUAGGUGAGCUCUCAACAAAGUUUUGAGCCUAAAUUUGUGUCUUUAGAUUAUAGUGAAAUAAAUUUCUAAGGAACUCUGUCCUUUCCUAGCAUGGAUAAACAGACAGUGACAGUUGGUAAGUAUGUAACUUUAAAUGCAUGUAGUAGUGGUAAAGUUGAGCUACCAAACUAUUCCAAGACAGUUAGAAGUGAGUCCUUCUAGGACUUUAUAUGUAUAUCUGACAUUUUCUCCAAAUCUAUGUACUCAUGAUUAAACUGAAAUGCACCUUACUUGUCUGAUUUGUUUUUUGUUGUUCAUUUUGUUUUUAGAAGAAUUUUGUAUGGUAGUUUAAAAAUCUAAUUUUAUAUUUAAAACUUUCCUUGGUGUAUCAGUACGUGGCUCUUCUGACAACCCAAUAUUGAUCCGAAGUUUACUUCAAACACUUUGGUUUCCAUUUAAAACUAAGCAAAAUAUAGUGGCAAAAGAGAGGACUACUCUAAUUUUAGUCUAUAAUAGGAAAUCAGUGCAGAAUUACGCUUUAUUUUUAUUUAUGUGUCUGUGGUGCACCCACAUGCAGUUUUCUCCUGAGGCCAGAAGAUUGUCUGAUUGUUAGAGUGGAGUAGAGCUUCAGACACUGGUAACCCACCCCUGAGCAGUACCCAUUCAUCCUUGGCCAGUUCGGGUCAGUGUUGGAAUUUGGUGGUGGGAAGAAGGCUUUCUUAUUUUUUAUGAUUGCGGCCCCCCAAUUGUGAGAAUUAUUUCAGGGGGUAGAUCGGAGGACAACUUCUUUACAGUUUGUGUUCGUAUGUGGUUUCUAGGGAGACAUCUCAACCACCCUCUGGUGUUCUGUUGGUAACAGAAGUAUGACAGGUAAAAUGAAAAGCAUUUUAAUUUUAUUUCUGAGACAUAAGUCAUUUAUUUACAGCAUUGUUUUCUGAAAAGUUAAAGAAGUGGGUAUGCAUGUCUUUAAUUUAGUCUCCAGGUUUACUCCUAACAAGUGUCAGUUGGAUUUGGAGGAAAUGAAGAGCCAAAUCCUGUGGGGAUGUGAUUGUAUGGAGGGUCUGAGUAUAGCAGCAGGAGGAAGAAUAAACUUGCAGCCUGUGUGCUAUUAAAUGGUACAGGAGCAGAGAUCGUGACGAAUGUUACUUUAUAACUAUGUCUGCUAAAGAUAAUUAUAUGCUAGCCUUUAAUUCAUUAACAUUGGAACCUUGUGAUACAUGAAUUUUGGUCGAGUUUAUUUAAAAAUAAAAAUUUCCCACACAAAUAAUAGUGUAUGUGAUACUUUGAUGUGUCUGUCUCCUGGCUCAGGAACAUUAAAGUGUGUUCUUCCCCAAUUCAAAUACUUUGCUGGCCUGGAACUCCCAGAAAUCGUUCUGCCUUUUGUCUCUCCAAUGGUGCGAUUAAAGGUGUGCACCACUGAACUGGGCAUAAAUUUGGUUCUUUUCAUCCUCUCUAGUUCCUGUAUUAUAUAUGCACAUACAAAACACUCUGUAGAAUAGGUUGUCUAUAAGCUCCCCUUUCCUCUGCCACCUCAGUGUGCCACCAUGCACACAUAUAAAUUAUGUCCAUGGAAGUGCAAUUGUCUGUAGAGGACAAGAAGUGUUUGAAUCCCCUGGAGUUACAGAUGAUUGUCAGCCACCGGAUAUUUAUGCAGAGAACAGAAUCAAUUCUUUUGUAAGAGCAUUUAGUUACCUUAACCACUCAGCCAUCUCUCUGUGUGUGUGUGUGUGUGUGUGUGUGUGUGUGUGUGUGUGUGUGUGUGUGUGAGAGAGAGAGAGAAUGCGCAAGCGGACAUGCGCGCUCAAGAGUGCACACUGUAACUGUCGUAAGAGAUAUCAGAAGAUGGCAUCAGAUCCCAUUACACCCAUUACAGAUGGUUGUGAGCCACCAUGUGGUUGCUGGGAAUUGAAUUUAGAACCUCUAGAAGAGCAGUGAGUGCUCUUAACCGCUGAGCUAUCUCUUCAGUCCCAAGGAACAAUUUUUUAACAAAAACGAUCUAGAGGUUGUAUACAUAUUCCCCACCUCAUGGGAAGCAGAGGCAGGCAAAUGUCUAAGAUUUAGGCUGGCCAAGUCUAGUCACAAGCCCUUUCUCAAAAACAAAUAAGUGAAUUUAAGUCAUGUUCUAUUAUAUGUAUGUGAGUGGGUGUUUUGUAUGUAUGCAUGUGUACCAUAGGCAUGUUUGGUUUCCACAGAGGUGGGAAAUGGAUGUCUGAUCCUGUGGGCUGCAGUCACACAUGGUUGUGAAUCACCAUGUGGGUGCUGGGAAUUGAACACCUGUCCUGCAAGAGCGAGCAGUAUUCUUACCUCUCCAGUCCUGAGACCAGGUUUUUGUUUUGUUUUGUUUUUUGUUUCUCGGAGCUGGGAACCGAACCCAGGGCCUUGGCGCUUGCUAGGCAUGCGUUCUACCACUGAGCUAAAUCCCCAAGUCCAAGUUUUAUUAAAAGGUUCGGGCUGUCCUAAACUUAAAAUUAUAUUCAGUCUCUGAAGUAGUGUUUCACAGAGUGCUUUAUUCAUAACGUAUUUGAAAAAUUUUUGUUCAAUGCAUUGUAAGUUUCAUUUUCAUUCUAGAUAAUGUAAGAGUGAAUUUAUCUGUCAGAUUUGAUAUCUGAGUGAAUCAUGGUGUUUUUUUCUUUUUUAAAGAUUUAUUUAUUUCAUAUAUGUGAGUACACUGUAGCUGUCUUGAGACACAUCAGAAGAGGGCAUCAGAUACCAUUACAGAUGGUUGUGAGCCACCAUGUGGUUGCUGGGAAUUGAAUUCAGGACCUCUAGAGAGGAGCUGUUGGUGCUCUUAACCGCUGAGCCAUCUCUCCAGCCUGAAUCAUGGUGUUCUGAUCAGGACUUUUAUUCUAACUUUUUUUUUUCGGAGCUUGGGACCGAACCCAGGGCCUUGCGCUUGCUAGGCAAGUGCUAUAUCACUGAGCUAAAUCCCCAACCCCUAUUCUAACUUUUAAAUACCAAAAGUCUUUUAGAUAGCAAUUUGGCAGGCAAUAUGUAGUUAGUAAAUAUUUGAUGAAAAUUUGGACUUAGGGAUUUUUGCUUUGUGUGUGUGGCUGAGGAGUUGGGCUAUUUUUUAAAGAUUUUACUUAUUUUAUAUAAGUGAGUAUCCUGUCACUCUCUUCAGACAUAACAGAAGAGGGAAUCAGAUUGUGUUUCAGAUGGUUGUUGAGCCACCAUGUGGUUGCUGGGAAUUGAACUCAGGACCUCUGGAAGAACAAUCAGUGCUCUUAACCACUGAGCCAUCUCUCCAGCCCCAAACUCACUUUUGAUUGAAUCCUGUCUAUCUCAUGUGCUGGGAUUGUAGGAUAUUCUAUUCUUUUCAGAAAUGCAAAUUUGUAUUUGGUACUCUUCAGAAUAAAAGGUUAUUUUCUGUAUGAUGAAAGAUGGUAAAAAGGAAAAAAAGAUAGCUGUAUUUUAGAUUAUAAACUACAUCUGAACCAGGCAGUUCAAUAAAAUAGUAUGCUUUGUGGAAAUUUUGUGACCCUUUUAAACAAGACUCAGUGAUAUGUUCAAUAC